AUUAGGCGAGCUAAGUAAGUGUAAUUGUUAGAUUAAUAUAUGUAACAUAAUAUAAUUAAACGGUUACUUAGGGGUGAUAGGCUUUUCAAGUCUAAAGAUAUCUCGAUGCUAAAAAAAAACAUUAAGUGUUAAAACAAUUAUACAGUGAUUAGGCUGUAUAAGUACAUAAAAUUUUUUCUUCUGAUUAUAUUUGGGUUUAGGUAUUAAAUAUUUAUUUUAGUUAAUAUAUAUUUAAAAUGCGUUGUGGUUCUUAUUUAGCCUUAAUCUAACUCUAAAUUAUGUUGGUAUUGUAGCUAUUAGUAAUGUUUGAAUUGCUCAAAAUGAACUCGGCAACACAUCCUUCAACUGUUUACCAAAAACAUAAUUAUUGGUAAUUACCUGUAAUGGUUUCUGCUCAAUGAGAUUUUAAAUAGCCGCAGUACUCUGACUGUGCAAAGGUAGCGAAAUAAUUUGACUUUUAAUUAAAGUCCUGUAUGAACGAACAUAUGGGGGGUGACUUUAUCUUGCGCAUGUGUUGAAUUUACUUUUUAGGUGCAAAUUCCUUUAGGAAAAUGAUAGACGAGAAGACCCUUGAAAUUUUGAAAACAUUGCAAGAUUACUUUUUGUUGGGGCAACAGAGUAACAAGUAACUUACUUUGUAUAACACGAAUAAAUUUAUGGAAGAAUAAAUUACUCUAGGGAUAACAGCGUAAUUUAAGAAAGUUUGCGACCUCGAUGUUGGACUAGGAAA
rnacentral:rRNA from 1 species